AGAGUUUGAUCCUGGCUCAGAUUGAACGCUGGCGGUAUGCUUAACACAUGCAAGUCGAACGGUAACAGGGCCUUCGGGCGCUGACGAGUGGCGGACGGGUGAGUAACGCGUAGGAAUCUGCCUCAUAGUGGGGGACAACGUGGGGAAACUCACGCUAAUACCGCAUACGCCCUACGGGGGAAAGCGGGGGAUCUUCGGACCUCGCGCUAUGAGAUGAGCCUGCGUUAGAUUAGCUAGUUGGUAGGGUAAAGGCCUACCAAGGCGACGAUCUAUAGCUGGUCUGAGAGGACGAUCAGCCACACUGGGACUGAGACACGGCCCAGACUCCUACGGGAGGCAGCAGUGGGGAAUAUUGGACAAUGGGCGCAAGCCUGAUCCAGCAAUACCGCGUGUGUGAAGAAGGCCUAGGGUUGUAAAGCACUUUCAAUUGGGAGGAAAACCUGUCGGUCAAUACCCGGCAGCUUGACAUUACCUUUAGAAGAAGCACCGGCUAACUCCGUG
rnacentral:rRNA from 1 species